rnacentral:rRNA from 1 species
GAUGAACGCUGGCGGCGUGCCUAAUACAUGCAAGUCGAGCGAACAGACGAGGAGCUUGCUCCUCUGACGUUAGCGGCGGACGGGUGAGUAACACGUGGAUAACCUACCUAUAAGACUGGGAUAACUUCGGGAAACCGGAGCUAAUACCGGAUAACAUGUUGAACCGCAUGGUUCAACAGUGAAAGACGGUCUUGCUGUCACUUAUAGAUGGAUCCGCGCCGCAUUAGCUAGUUGGUAAGGUAACGGCUUACCAAGGCAACGAUGCGUAGCCGACCUGAGAGGGUGAUCGGCCACACUGGAACUGAGACACGGUCCAGACUCCUACGGGAGGCAGCAGUAGGGAAUCUUCCGCAAAGGGCGAAAGCCUGACGGAGCAACGCCGCGUGAGUGAAGAAGGUCUUCGGAUCGUAAAACUCUGUUAUUAGGGAAGAACAAAUGUGUAAGCAACUAUGCACGUCUUGACGGUACCUAAUCAGAAAGCCACGGCUAACUACGUG